AAUACUGCUCGACUAGAAUUUUCUCAAGGGAGAUCGGAAAUGAGGGAGGAGUAGUGAAACGCGCUGAUACCCUCGGGAACACCAGUGGCGUAGCCGGAUCUCAGGGAGAAGAUCGACACUGAGACACGAAAGCUAGGGGACCGAAGCAGAUUAGAGACCUGCGUAGUCAUAGCCGUAAACGCAUGCAGGCGAGCGGCAUGAAGGGACCUUCGGGAGGUAUCGAGUGGCGAAGGUAACCCGUUAAGCAAGCCGCCUGGAAAGUACGCCCGCAAGGCUGAAAUUCAAAGGAAAUGGCGGGGAGGCACACAACCAGUGGGACACGUGGCUUAAUUCGAGACUAACCGAAGAACCUCACCAGGGUUUGACAUGUAGCUGCACGUCUUAAGAGAUUAAGACUCUCUUGAAGGUGCUACACAGGUGAUGCAUGGCUGUCGUCAGCUCGUUCCGUGAGGAGUGCCUUUAAGUGGGACAACGAGCGCAACCCGUAUUACAUGUUAGAAAUGUCAUGUAAGACUGCCUUGCCAUUUGACGGGGAGGAAGGAGGGGCAGACGUCAAGUCAGCAUGGUCCUUAUGUCAUGGGCUACACACAUGUUACAAUGAGUACGGCAAUGAGUCUGUCGUGAGCACGUAAGCGUAAGCUAAUCUCUUAAAUGUACUAUCAGUGGGGAUUGAGGUCUGCUACUUGACCUCAUGACCACGGACUUGGUAGUAAUCAGCGGGUCAGCUAUACCCGCGGUGAUACGUUCUUGCCUCUUGCACACACCGCCCGUCAGACCAGCAAAGU
rnacentral:rRNA from 1 species